UAGGGAAUCUUCCGCAAUGGACGCAAGUCUGACGGAGCAACGCCGCGUGAGUGAAGAAGGAUUUCGGUUCGUAAAACUCUGUUGUUAGAGAAGAACAGCGCAUAGAGUAACUGUUAUGCGUGUGACGGUAUCUAACCAGAAAGCCACGGCUAACUACGUGCCAGCAGCCGCGGUAAUACGUAGGUGGCAAGCGUUGUCCGGAUUUAUUGGGCGUAAAGCGAGCGCAGGCGGUCAAUUAAGUCUGAUGUGAAAGCCCCCGGCUCAACCGGGGAGGGUCAUUGGAAACUGGUUGACUUGAGUGCAGAAGAGGAGAGUGGAAUUCCAUGUGUAGCGGUGAAAUGCGUAGAUAUAUGGAGGAACACCGGUGGCGAAAGCGACUUUCUGGUCUGUAACUGACGCUGAUGUGCGAAAGCGUGGGGAUCAAACAGG
rnacentral:rRNA from 1 species